rnacentral:rRNA from 1 species
UGGGGAAUUUUGGACAAUGGGUGAGAGCCUGAUCCAGCCAUGCCGCGUGCAGGAAGAAGGCGUUAUGCGUUGUAAACUGCUUUUUGCCAGGGGAUAAAAAGACCGUGCGCGGUUAAUUGAAGGUACCUGGUGAAUAAGCCACGGCUAACUACGUGCCAGCAGCCGCGGUAAUACGUAGGUGGCAAGCGUUGUCCGGAUUUAUUGGGUUUAAAGGGUGCGUAGGUGGCCCUGUAAGUCAGUGGUGAAAUAUCUCAGCUUAACUGAGAGGGUGCCAUUGAUACUGCAGGGCUUGAGUACAGAUGAGGUAGGCGGAAUUGACGGUGUAGCGGUGAAAUGCAUAGAUAUCGUCAAGAACACCGAUAGCGAAGGCAGCUUACCAAGCUGUAACUGACACUGAGGCACGAAAGUGUGGGGGUCAAACAGGAUUAGAUACCCUUGUAGUCCCUGAGCGGGCUGGCAAGGCGCAU